GGAGAUGUGGCUCAAUAGUAGAGCAUCUGCCUGGCAUGUACAAGGUCGCCGGUUCCCUGGCAUCUCCA
rnacentral:tRNA from 1 species